rnacentral:sRNA from 10 species
GAGAGUAGUUCAGUAUCGAGUCGUUCAAAAGAUGACUUGUCUGGUUGGCAGACCGCUACUUUCACCAUCCACAGACCAAAAACUUUGCAUUUUUGAAGUAUGCAAAUACUAAGAGACAAAGGAAAAGUGUCUGUCAGUCGUAGGCGAAAGGUGACUACAUAGUAAUGAGAUGUUCAUUGCCGUUGUGGGUUCCCAAGACCCAAACGAUUCUUGAGAACGUUCUCUAAUCCCGCAAGGAUUCACUGGGGUGGCAACCUCGGAGAGUAACAAGUACAAAGAGAGUAACCGACGACUCAAGGAAUGGUAACCCUAAGUGACCGUCACUGAGAAUUACUACUCAAAAGGUAGUGGAAACGGGAAGAAAAAAUAAUGUCCCCAAAGAUUCUUAAUCAAAGGUGUAUUCUCAACCU